rnacentral:misc_RNA from 1 species
GAUGAAGAACGUAGCGAAAUGCGAUAAGUAAUGUGAAUUGCAGAAUUCAGUGAAUCAUCGAAUCCUUGAACGCACAUUGCGCCCCUUGGUAUUCCGAGGGGCAUGCCUGUUCGAGCGUCAUUAUAACCCUCAAGCUCAGCUUGGUGUUGGGGCCUGCUGCACUGGCAGCCCUUAAAAUCAGUGGCGGCGCCAUCUGGCUCUAAGCGUAGUAAUUCUUCUCGCUAUGGAGUCCUGGUGGAUGCUUGCCAUCAACCCCCAAUUUUUCUAUGGUUGACCUCGGAUCAGGUAGGGAUACCCGCUGAACUUAAGCAUAUCAAUAAGCGGAGGA